UAGGGAAUCUUCGGCAAUGGACGAAAGUCUGACCGAGCAACGCCGCGUGAGUGAAGAAGGUUUUCGGAUCGUAAAACUCUGUUGUUAGAGAAGAACAAGGACGUUAGUAACUGAACGUCCCCUGACGGUAUCUAACCAGAAAGCCACGGCUAACUACGUGCCAGCAGCCGCGGUAAUACGUAGGUGGCAAGCGUUGUCCGGAUUUAUUGGGCGUAAAGCGAGCGCAGGCGGUUUCUUAAGUCUGAUGUGAAAGCCCCCGGCUCAACCGAGGAGGGUCAUUGGAAACUGGGAGACUUAAGUGCAGAAGAGGAGAGUGGAAUUCCAUGUGUAGCGGUGAAAUGCGUAGAUAUAUGGAGGAACACCAGUGGCGAAGGCGGCUCUCUGGUCUGUAACUGACGCUGAGGCUCGAAAGCGUGGGGAGCAAACAGG
rnacentral:rRNA from 1 species